rnacentral:misc_RNA from 1 species
GAUGAAGAACGCAGCGAAAUGCGAUACGUAAUGUGAAUUGCAAAUUCAGUGAAUCAUCGAAUCUUUGAACGCACAUUGCGCCCCCUGGUAUUCCGGGGGGCAUGCCUGUUCGAGCGUCAUUACAACCCUCAAGCUCUGCUUGGUAUUGGGCCCCGCCAGUUCUGGCGGGCCCUAAAGUCAGUGGCGGUGCCUUCCGGCUCCGAGCGUAGUAAUUCUUCUCGCUCUGGAGACCCGGUUGUGUGCUUGCCAACAACCCCCAAUUUUUUAAGGUUGACCUCGGAUCAGGUAGGGAUACCCGCUGAACUUAAGCAUACAAUAAGCGGAGGA